UGGGGAAUAUUGGACAAUGGGCGAAAGCCUGAUCCAGCAAUGCCGCGUGAGUGAUGAAGGCCCUAGGGUUGUAAAGCUCUUUUACCCGGGAAGAUAAUGACUGUACCGGGAGAAUAAGCCCCGGCUAACUCCGUGCCAGCAGCCGCGGUAAUACGGAGGGGGCUAGCGUUGUUCGGAAUUACUGGGCGUAAAGCGCACGUAGGCGGCUUUGUAAGUUAGAGGUGAAAGCCCGGGGCUCAACCCCGGAAUUGCCUUUAAGACUGCAUCGCUUGAACGUCGGAGAGGUGAGUGGAAUUCCGAGUGUAGAGGUGAAAUUCGUAGAUAUUCGGAAGAACACCAGUGGCGAAGGCGGCUCACUGGACGACUGUUGACGCUGAGGUGCGAAAGCGUGGGGAGCAAACA
rnacentral:rRNA from 1 species